GGAAACUGCUUUGUAUAUUGCUGUUUCAAAUAAUUAUGAGGAGAUUGUGAGUUAUUUGCUUGGGUUUUGUAAUUUGGAAACUGCUAUGAUUAGGUCUAAAGCUGAUUUCGAUGCUUUUCAUGUUGCUGCAAAAAGUGGACACUUGGGUAUUGUGAGGGAACUCUUGGCCAUGUGGCCUGGACUUUGUAAAGUAUGCAACUCCUCAAACACAAGCCCUCUUUAUUCAGCUGCCGUCAAGGGACAUUUGGAUGUGGUGAAUGCUAUUUUAGAUGCAGAUGUGAGCUCCAUACGAAUUGUUAGGAAGAAUGGAAAAACUGCC
rnacentral:misc_RNA from 1 species